rnacentral:tmRNA from 1 species
GAUCGAAUUUCACAGCCCUUGGUUCAGUUUUAGCAUCCAACUAUGGAUAUAAAAUAAGGGGGAAUAACCAACGACGAGCGUUUCGCUUUAGCCGCCUAGUGCGGUAAGCCGCUGCACUGAUUUGUCUUUGGGUCAGGUAGGGUAAAACCUACAGCAGCGUCAUUUACAAAGAAUCGGGCUUGGCUGGGUCACUCAGCCACGACUUAAAAUAAUGUGAAUCGCCAAGGAAGGGCCUGUCGGUUGGCAUGAUCCAAGGUUAAAACUAAAGUGAACCGAAUAAGCAUGUAGAACUGCCUGCAGAGGGCUUGCGGACGGGGGUUCAAUUCCCCCCGACUCCACCA